rnacentral:rRNA from 1 species
CCUACGGGUGGCAGCAGUAGGGAAUAUUGCUCAAUGGGGGAAACCCUGAAGCAGCAACGCCGCGUGGAGGAUGAAGGUUUUCGGAUUGUAAACUCCUUUUGUUAGAGAAGAUAAUGACGGUAUCUAACGAAUAAGCACCGGCUAACUCCGUGCCAGCAGCCGCGGUAAUACGGAGGGUGCAAGCGUUACUCGGGAUCACUGGACGUAAAGCGCGCGUAGGCGGGAUAGCAAGUCAGAUGUGAAAUCCUUUGGCUUAACCAUAGAACUGCAUUUGAAACUGUUAGUCUAGAGUAUGGGAGAGGUAGGUGGAAUUCUUGGUGUAGGGGUAAAAUCCGUAGAGAUCAAGAGGAAUACUCAUUGCGAAGGCGACCUGCUAGAACAUAACUGACGCUGAUGCGCGAAAGCGUGGGGAGCAAACAGGAUUAGAUACCCCAGUAGUC